CCGCUGGCGGCGUGCUUAACACAUGCAAGUCGCACGAGAACGUUUCAGCUUGCUGAAGCUAGUAAAGUGGCGCACGGGUGAGUAACGCGUGGGUAAUCUACCUCCGAAUUGGGGAUAACAUCGCGAAAGCGAUGCUAAUACCGAAUAAUAUCUCUAAGGCUUCGGUUUUUGAGAUCAAAGGUGGCCUCUACAUGUAAGCUUCUGUUUGGAGAUGAGCCCGCGUACCAUUAGCUUGUUGGUAGGGUAAUGGCCUACCAAGGCGACGAUGGUUAGCUGGUCUGAGAGGAUGAUCAGCCACACUGGAACUGACACACGGUCCAGACUCCUACGGGAGGCAGCAGUGAGGAAUUUUGCGCAAUGGGGGAAACCCUGACGCAGCAACGCCGCGUGAGUGAUGAAGGCUUUCGGGUCGUAAAGCUCUGUCAAGUGGGAAGAACCCACAUGGUGAUAAUACCACUAUGUGCUGACGGUACCACUAAAGGAAGCACCGGCUAACUCCGUGCCAGCAGCCGCGGUAAU
rnacentral:rRNA from 1 species